rnacentral:rRNA from 1 species
AUUGAACGCUGGCGGCAGGCCUAACACAUGCAAGUCGAGCGAGCGGCGGACGGGUGAGUAAUGUAUGGGGACUGCCCGAUAGAGGGGGAUAACAACUGGAACCGGUGGCUAAUACCGCAUACUAUCGGAUAACCCAUAUGGGAUUAGCUAGUAGGUGGGGUAAAGGAUCACCUAGGCGACGAUCUCUAGCUGGGCGGAGAGGAUGGUAAGGCACACUGGGAGUGAGAUCAGGCCCAGACUCCAACGGAGGCGGGGGUGGAGAAUAUUGUACAAUGGGCGCAAGCCUGAUGCAGCCCUGCCGCGUGUAUGAAGAAGGCCUUAGGUUUGUAAAGUACUUUCAGCGGGGAGGCGUUACCCUCAGAAGAAGCACCGGCUAACUCCGUGCCAGCAGCCGCGGUAAUUC